rnacentral:rRNA from 1 species
AGUUUGAUCCUGGCUCAGGACGAACGCUGGCGGCGUGCCUAAUACAUGCAAGUCGAGCGGACAGAUGGGAGCUUGCUCCCUGAUGUUAGCGGCGGACGGGUGAGUAACACGUGGGUAACCUGCCUGUAAGACUGGGAUAACUCCGGGAAACCGGGGCUAAUACCGGAUGCUUGUUUGAACCGCAUGGUUCAAACAUAAAAGGUGGCUUCGGCUACCACUUACAGAUGGACCCGCGGCGCAUUAGCUAGUUGGUGAGGUAACGGCUCACCAAGGCAACGAUGCGUAGCCGACCUGAGAGGGUGAUCGGCCACACUGGGACUGAGACACGGCCCAGACUCCUACGGGAGGCAGCAGUAGGGAAUCUUCCGCAAUGGACGAAAGUCUGACGGAGCAACGCCGCGUGAGUGAUGAAGGUUUUCGGAUCGUAAAGCUCUGUUGUUAGGGAAGAACAAGUACCGUUCGAAUAGGGCGGUACCUUGACGGUACCUAACCAGAAAGCCACGGCUAACUACGUGCCAGCAGCCGCGGUAAUACGUAGGUGGCAAGCGUUGUCCGGAAUUAUUGGGCGUAAAGGGCUCGCAGGCGGUUCCUUAAGUCUGAUGUGAAAGCCCCCGGCUCAACCGGGGAGGGUCAUUGGAAACUGGGGAACUUGAGUGCAGAAGAGGAGAGUGGAAUUCCACGUGUAGCGGUGAAAUGCGUAGAGAUGUGGAGGAACACCAGUGGCGAAGGCGACUCUCUGGUCUGUAACGA